UACAGAGGGGGCUAGCGUUGUUCGGAAUUACUGGGCGUAAAGGGCGCGUAGGUGGCCUGUUAAGUCGAACGUGAAAUCCCCCGGGCUCAACCCGGGAACUGCGUCCGAGACUGGCAGGCUCGAAUCCGGGAGAGGGAUGUGGAAUUCCAGGUGUAGCGGUGAAAUGCGUAGAUAUCUGGAGGAAUACCGGUGGCGAAGGCGGCAUCCUGGACCGGCAUUGACGCUGAGGAGCGAAAGCUAGGGGAGCAAACGGG
rnacentral:rRNA from 1 species